GUCUUUCUCUUCGUUUUUAAUUCCGGUGUGAAGAAAAUUAGAAGAACAAUUCCGGUGCGAGUAGCGGCUUAAAGGAUUUUCUUCAUCUCCCACCAAACCUUCAUAGCGAGUAGCGGCUUAAAGGAUUCACUGCAAUCACCGCCAAAGAUUGAGACCAAUUGAGAGCAAUUGCCUGACAAGUAAAAUCAAGGUACAUUAUCAAAGGCAGGAGCCGCAGGACUGCAUCAAUUGCACAAGGAAGUGCCAACUUUGUCAGUGAUGGAAAUAUGGCGUCAUUUCACUCGGAGAAAUGUUGAAGAACCCUCUUGCAAUUACUGUGGAAGGACUUAUAGGGCUAACAUGUCCAGAAAUGGAACUUCUGCCUUGUGGAAUGCUUAGAAGUUGCAAUAAUGCUUAGAAGU